rnacentral:piRNA from 1 species
UCACUGGGUGACCAGCGUGUGGAUGUGGUC